CCUACGGGGUGCAGCAGUGAGGAAUAUUGGUCAAUGGACGAGAGUCUGAACCAGCCAAGUAGCGUGAAGGAUGACUGCCCUAUGGGUUGUAAACUUCUUUUAUAUGGGAAUAAAACGUUCCACGUGUGGGAUUUUGUAUGUACCAUAUGAAUAAGGAUCGGCUAACUCCGUGCCAGCAGCCGCGGUAAUACGGAGGAUCCGAGCGUUAUCCGGAUUUAUUGGGUUUAAAGGGAGCGUAGGUGGAUUGUUAAGUCAGUUGUGAAAGUUUGCGGCUCAACCGUAAAAUUGCAGUUGAAACUGGCAGUCUUGAGUACAGUAGAGGUGGGCGGAAUUCGGGGUGUAGCGGUGAAAUGCUUAGAUAUCACGAAGAACUCCGAUUGCGAAGGCAGUUCACUGGACUGCAACUGACACUGAGGCUCGAAAGUGUGGGUAUCAAACAGGAUUAGAUACCCCUGUAGUC
rnacentral:rRNA from 1 species